AUGCCCUUGACAAUAGUUUACACCUCCUGUUAUUGUUGAAUUGCGAGUUACUAGAACGUUACUAGAAGUGAUUACUUCAUUUUAUUUUAGUACUUAGUUACUCUAUCAUUAGCUAAGGUACCAAAUAACAUCCUUGGUACUGCAAAACUCCAUUACAUCAUAGGAAUGGUGGAUAUCAACAUUACAAAAUGUCUGGUUGCUUGAAAUUAGAAUUACUAGAUAUCAAAAGUGUAAGAAAUCCUAGGAACAAGACAGUUAAUCUUGGAGUACUUCUGAUGCAGCAGCCAGGGUGAAGAGUUGAUGGACAAAGACCAUUUAAUUCCUGGUUCUAUCAGGUUCCUUCCUUGCCACAAAGAGGGAAUGCAGAGAGGAAGUGGGUACAUUCUCUCUCACACAUGGAAAUCAGAAUGGAGCUCUUAUUUGGAGAUACAAAUUUCUGAGCCCUGGGCAAAUCAAUGGUAAUUAAAGUAGUAAAUCUGUUACAUUGCUGUUGCUGUAUCUGUUGUUGAAAAAUUCAGAGUCUGAACUUGAAUCCACUUAAAUUAAAAUCAUGAGAACUUUCACCAAAAAAUGAAUAUUCUGUGACCAAUUCAUUUAAAGACAUAGGCUACAUUUGUAAAUAUAUUAAGGAUAUCUGAGACAAUAGAAGUGAUUUAGGAAGUUAUCACAAUAGGGAUACAGAGGUUGCCUAGCAACAUGUGAAGACAGAGAACAAUUCAUGAGUCAUGGAAGAGUGAAUGAGUCACAUGAUGGGUGGAAGUGAUUGAUGGUUUGGUUCACUGUCUCAAUGCCUCCACUGACAAAGCUGGAUAAACUACCGCAUUCCCACUUUGGCUACAAGUUUGCAAGCCUGGCACUCCUGCUGUUCCAUCAGGGCCAGCAAUAGCUGUGCUGGCAUUAUUUGAUUUGAUUUCAUUCACAGAAGAGGGGAAAGCAAUCUUCCACUAUUUAAUACAUGCAUCCAAUGAUGCAACUACAAGCUCCUCCUUCAUUCAACUGUGGAUUCAGCUUUCCAUGGUGGAGCAGACAGUGCUGCUCAAAUCAUCUGCUCUACAAAGGGAACAAGCUGCUGAGACGAGUUAUGAAAAUCAGCUCCCAAUGCUUGACCUCUGAUGAUUCAAGAUGGCCAAACGAACAUUAAGUGGAAAAUAGGAAAGUAGGCUCUUUCCAAAUCAACAUUUCUUCAUUCUGUUACUUAGAAAAAAUUAAAAAUAAAAUUGAUUAUGGAAUUUAA